UGGAAAAAUAACACCACACCACAAUGUCAUUCAUCAUUUUAUUUCAUUUUUGGUUUUCUCGAGUUAAACCCUAGUUUAAUUUUCUGUUGCAUUACCAGAAAUUCGCAUCUGAAGGAGCAGGAGAUAACACCACACCACAAUGUCAAGUCUUCCUGAAGAGAUGUACCUCGACAUUCUUCUGAGGGUACCAGUGAAAUCAACAUUCGUCUGUAAGUGUGUUUGUAAAUCUUGGUUUCAAAUAAUUUCUAAUUCUAACUUUGUUAAAUCCCAUCUUAAUCUUACCACACAAAGAAACAAUCACAGUCUAUUGAUUCAGAGUACUAAAAUGUAUUUAAGAUUUGAUUCAUUAUCAUCGUCAAAUGAUGCCGAUGAUGCUGCAAUUGUUAGACUGGAUCCCCCCUACAGAUUUACUAAACUGUUGGGUUCAUGUGAUGGGUUAGUAUAUGGAUGGAAUAACAUGAUGGAUUCAUAUUUUCUGUGGAAGCCAGCCACAAGGGAGUACAAGGAAUUACCCAAAUCACCUGAUAAAUGUUAUAUGUGCAAAGGUGGUAACUAUGGUUUUGGUUAUGAUUAUAAGACCGAUGAUUACAAGUUGGUCAAGUUUGAUAUAAGGGGAGUACUUCAGUCGUAGUCUAUUCUUUAGAAUCAAACUCAUGGAAAAGCUUUGUAUCCAUUCAGUAUGAUUUUCCUUAUGUUGAUAUGGUUGGCGUGCCUUUCAAUGGAGCACUUCAUUGGUUCGGGAGUAUAAUAGUCCACAGUGAUAGUCCCAAUCGAUUUUAGUGAAGAAAAAUUUGAAGAACUGCAACUACCAGAGUGCCUUUGCGUACUUGCUAAAUUCAAAGGGACAUUUGAAGUAUGGGUAAUGUCAGAUUAUGGAGUUCCAGAAUCUUGGACUAAACUUUGUACCAUUACAUUUGAAAGGAUAAUGGGUUAUCCCUAUCUGGAGCUUAUCGGGUCUUUUAGGAAUGGUGCGAUUCUGUUCAGGAACACAGACGACCUAUUAAUCUCAUAUAACUCAAUGUGUGGAACUGCUAGAAAAACAGAAAUUGAUUACUUACACAACGGAGGAGCAGUGAAAUAUUUCGAAAGCUUAGUUUCUCUAUACUCUAAUACUGUUGUAGAAAGAAAGAGAAAGAGAGAUAUCACUUAUGUCUUGAUGAAGACUAAGAUGCUAAACAUGAGGCUCAGAAAGUCUUCUUGGUAUUGAGGCGAUCAGAUGAGACGAAGAACUGGAUUGGAGAAUGCACCAAUCUCAGAGGCUAACAAAUAUGGUGAUGUAUUCUCUCACUGAAAUAGCGUAAUAGAUAUGCUUUGGAUAUUACAUUUAUGUUUAGACAAGUUAAUAUCUUAUCUUCUGGAUAUAUUAAACAUGAACAACAUCAUGUGAGAUGUAUUUUCAUUCAGCUCUCUAUAUAAGUUGGUCUCUAGUAGUCUAGUGGUAUGAUUCUGAGUUAGAAACACUUUCGAUUUAGCAAUACUAGUUAAAUCUAGUCAUUAUGUUGCAGCCGUCAUUUUGAGCUAAUGCUAUUUAUGUCUUUACCGGGAAAUAUGAAAAGAGAGAAAAUUGUGUAGUUCUAAUGAGCUGUUUUUCUUUCCGUUUCUUGUUUUAUUGUUCAAUAUUUUACAACUUCCUAUUGAAAGCGAACCUUCUGUUUUGUUUCCUGUCUAGCAUCUGCCACAAUACACUGUCAGAGUUCGAUUACGAUUGUUAUUUUGCUUUCAUGAUCUCCUUUUCCUUUUCUUGUUUGGCUUCUGUGCAAUGUUAAUAGUUCCCAACACGAGUUCCACCAAGUUUGAUGCAUGUUAUGACUAUAAUUUUUUCCCCACCGAGUUCUUUGAUAUCGUAAGUUACUGUUACCAAGCCAAAAAAUAUAGAGCUUGCCUUACUUCACAGGGCUAUAUGCUGUGGGAGUGGUUCUUUACCGUGUCUUUCUUUUCUUAAAUCAAGAGUUCUGUCUCUUGAAACUAGAUCCUAUUCAAGUAAGAUUACAUUUUCUUGGAUACCUUUAAGCAUGUGCUGCAAGGGUAAGUGCUCUAAAAUUGGGUGUACAAGAUCCUUAAACCGAGUUAUGUUCUAUUUCUAUCAUCUCUUUACCGUCCCUUCUAUGCGUAAUAUUUUAUGUAGACUGCAAAUGGGAAAUUCAGGGGAAAUUUGGUCCACACUCCAUGGUGCUUCCCUCACUAAUCAUGUUAUAACUAUAAUAUCUUUCAUAUCUGAAAGAUCGAUAUUAUUUUCAACACAAAGGACAGUGAUGGUUGAUUGAUGCUGUUUUGGGAGCUGAACUGAAUUGCCAUGGGCAUAUGGGUGUUCUUGACUAAACGACCUGUUAGGUUCAGAGUCAUGAUGGCUAGUAGGAGUGCUAUUGUAGCACAGUGUGGUUAAUAUGCCGACCUUGCAAUCUUCCAAGUGUAGAUCCAGUCUCGUUUAAUAUCCAGAAUUCUUUGAAUGUCACCUAAGAUAUUGAGCCACUUUCUUUGUUCGGUCAAGUUGCAUUGGGAAAAAUUGUUCAGAGUGCUAUUGUAACACGGUGUGGUUCAGCCCUAAAAUAGGAAAAAUUGUUCUGUUUUUUUUUUUCUCUUAAACUUCGCAAACUAGAAACUACAACAGAAGAAGAAGAGGAAUCAGUAGAGGCACGACAUGGACAGGGAAAAAGUUGCAGUUGCAAAGAAUAGAACUAGACUACCAAGUCGAAAUCGUACAACUAGACCACCUUCACCAAAAGCAACUACUUGAAGAAGAAGUGCUGCUGCAACUUCAAGUGCACCAGCUAGUGGAAGAGGGUCUAGGAGUGGUGCUGCUGCUAGAGGAAGAGGGUAUAGUGUUGCUGCUGCUGGAGGUCAUGGUCUGCACUGCAACUAUAACAACUGGUACAAGUGGUGGUUCCACAACUACAGGAAGGGGUUGUGCUGCAACAAUUUCACCCAACUUCAAAGUUUAUGUUUUGAGAAAUGAGGCAACAGUUGAUGCCGCAGAAAAAAUGUAUCGAAACUAUAGAUUUAAUUCCAGGAGCUACUAUCAUGGUACUGAUGUUGUACAGUAUAACUUUUUGCAUAAUGGAAA